rnacentral:rRNA from 1 species
UACGGGAGGCAGCAGUGGGGAAUAUUGCACAAUGGGCGCAAGCCUGAUGCAGCCAUGCCGCGUGUAUGAAGAAGGCCUUCGGGUUGUAAAGUACUUUCAGCGGGGAGGAAGGCGGUGAAGUUAAUAGCUUCACCGAUUGACGUUACCCGCAGAAGAAGCACCGGCUAACUCCGUGCCAGCAGCCGCGGUAAUACGGAGGGUGCAAGCGUUAAUCGGAAUUACUGGGCGUAAAGCGCACGCAGGCGGUCUGUCAAGUCGGAUGUGAAAUCCCCGGGCUUAACCUGGGAACUGCAUUCGAAACUGGCAGGCUAGAGUCUUGUAGAGGGGGUAGAAUUCCAGGUGUAGCGGUGAAAUGCGUAGAGAUCUGGAGGAAUACCGGUGGCGAAGGCGGCCCCUGGGACAAAGCUGACGCUCAGGUGCGAAAGCGUGGGGAGCAAACAGGGAUUAGGAUACC